UACGAAGGGAGCUAGCGUUGUUCGGAAUCACUGGGCGUAAAGCGCACGUAGGCGGAUGUGUCAGUCAGGGGUGAAAUCCUGGAGCUCAACUCCAGAACUGCCUUUGAUACUGGAAAGCUUGAGUUCGGGAGAGGUGAGUGGAACUGCGAGUGUAGAGGUGAAAUUCGUAGAUAUUCGCAAGAACACCAGUGGCGAAGGCGGCUCACUGGCCCGAUACUGACGCUGAGGUGCGAAAGCGUGGGGAGCAAACAGG
rnacentral:rRNA from 1 species